UCCCCUUCCCUGGAGGGCUAGCCCGGUGCCGCGCACCGCCUGGCGCCUCGAGAAGGUGCCCGGGUGAGCGCGAUCCCGAGUGGAAGAACCGGAUUGCGGCUCGGCAGGGCAGCUUGUCAAUGCCAGUAGCAGCCCUCUUACGAGUGGUAGCGAUCACUGUCAGUGAUCUCGUUUCUUAGCCAGUGUCUUAGCAGAGUGCUGCGCGGGAGAGACGCAGAGGUUUUCGUUUUGUUUUAAAGUUAGUGAAAUGGUUUUGCAGAGCACUGAUACCUAUGGACUUCAUGUAAAGAAAAGCACGGAAUAUUAAUGGACAAAAACAUGAAUCAAUUUGUAUUGUGGCAUUCAAUUCCUAGCACUUUGGAAGAGGUGUCAUUUCAGGAGUGCUUCUUAAAGAAAUAAAAACAGAAAGAUAAAGGAA